CCUGCUUGAGACUCUAAGGUACCCCUAAGGUUCCACUGAGCUCCUGAUCACGAGCACUAAUGAACAGAGAAAGCUGCACUGCUUAACAUUCAGACAGGGCUGCGCUGAUAAGAACGGAUGAACGGAUGAAGGAGGGAAUGAAUGAAGGAGUGAAUGGAUGAAGGAGUGAAUGGAUGAAGGAGUGAAUGGAUGAAGGCUCCUCAUUCAUAACCUGUCAGCGGUGGCUGAUAAGUAUCUUCUGUGCUUCCUCCCAGAGCUAAUAAAACACGACUAAAUAAAGACGUCUCACGGUCGUCCCCGCAUGGCUUCGUUGUCAGGGAAAUGAGAUCUGGAACGACAUGAGCGCACGGGGGGGGGGGUGAGCUGGAGCUCCGGGUGGAGGAGGGGGGGGGCUGAGCUGGAGCUCCGGGUGGAGGAGGCGGGGCUUCGGCCCCGCGGUGAUGGGCGUCCUCCAGAGCAGGCGAGGCGAUCAGCCGCCCGUCAGUCCUCUCUACCUGGGGGAGGAGGAGCCCGUCCUCUCUACCUGGGGGAGGAGGAGCCCGUCGGUCCUCUCUACCUGGGGGAGGAGGAGCCCGUCGGUCCUCUCUACCUGGGGGAGGAGGAGCAGCCCAACGGGGACAGCGUCUCUGAGGCUGGGCCGAGGCCGCAGGCCACUCCCUCUCUGGGGGGAUCUGGGUCGGUUGGUUGGUUGGUUGGUUGGUUGGGUUGGUUGGUUGGGUUGGUUGGGUUGGUUGGGUUGGUUGGGUCGGUUGGUUGGUUGGGUGGGUUGGUUGGUUGGGUUGGUUGGUUGGUUGGUUGGGUUGGUUGGUUGGGUUGGUUGGGUUGGUUGGGUUGGUUGGUUGGGUUGGUUGGUUGUUGGUAGGGUUGGUUGGGUUGGUUGGUUGGUUGUUGGUAGGGUUGGUUGGGUUGGUUGGGUUGGUUGGUUGGUUGUUGGUAGGGUUGGUUGGGUUGGUUGGGUUGGUUGGGUUGGUUGGGUGGGUUGGUUGGUUUGUCGGGUUGGUUGGUUGGGUUGGUUGGGUUGGUUGGUUGUUGGUAGGGUUGGUUGGGUUGGUUGGUUGGGUUGGUUUGUUUGUUGGGUUGGUUGGUUGUUG
ensembl:lncRNA